rnacentral:rRNA from 1 species
CCCUUAGACGUUCUGGGCCGCACGCGCGCUACACUGACGAAGGCAACGAGCUACUCUUCACCGAAAGGUGUGGGUAAUCUUUUGAAACUUCGUCGUGCUGGGGAUAGAUCCUUGCAAUUUUUGAUCUUAAACGAGGAAUUCCUAGUAAGCGCAAAUCAUCAACUUGCGUUGAUUACGUCCCUGCCCUUUGUACACACCGCCCGUCGCUACUACCGAUUGAAUGGUUUAGUGAGGCCUUCGGAUCCGCGAUUUUAUUGUGGAGAAGUUGGACAAACUCAGUCAUUUAGAGGAAGUAAAAGUCGUAACA